CACCUGCAAGUCGAACGGUAACACGGGGCAACCUGGCGACGAGUGGCGAACGGGUGAGUAAUGCAUCGGAACGUGCCCAUCAGUGGGGGAUAGCCCGGCGAAAGCCGGAUUAAUACCGCAUACGACCUGAGGGGGAAAGCGGGGGACCGAAAGGCCUCGCGCUGAUGGAUCGGCCGAUGUCGGAUUAGCUAGUUGGUGGGGUAAAGGCCUACCAAGGCAACGAUCCGUAGCUGGUCUGAGAGGACGACCAGCCACACUGGGACUGAGACACGGCCCAGACUCCUACGGGAGGCAGCAGUGGGGAAUUUUGGACAAUGGGCGCAAGCCUGAUCCAGCCAUGCCGCGUGCGGGAAGAAGGCCUUCGGGUUGUAAACCGCUUUUGUCAGGGAAGAAACGCACUGGGUUAAUACCUUGGUGUAAUGACGGAACCUGAAGAAUAAGCACCGGCUAACUACGUGCCAGCAGCCGCGGUA
rnacentral:rRNA from 1 species